GGAUUAUUCCUGCACCACCUCUGCACUGUCAGUAAUUAAUUUCACGGGAGAAGAGGCGACGGAGCUCCAGGAGGAAGAGCCUCAGCCUGGAUGGAGUGGACUGUACGACCCCUGGAACAGGUCAGCUUCGAUUCCCACGGCUCUGUGUGUGCGGAGUUUGUAUGCCCCCCCCUGCUGCGGGGGUUUCCUCCCAUGCAUGGUAGGCUGAUUGGUGUGUCUAAAGUGUAGUAGUGUGUGAAUGUGUGCCCUGCGAUGGACUGGCACCCUGUCCAGGGUGUACCCCGCCUCGUGUACCCCGAUGCUCCUGGGAUAGGCUCCAGGUUCCCCUGCGACCCUGAAAAGGAUAAAGCGGUUGAAUGGAUGCGAUGGAUGGUUUUAAUUACCUUCCAAUUCUGCCCAAGGCAUUUUGCGCCACAUGGACUUCAAUCAUCGUCUGCUACACAUUUAAUCAACUGCCAUUUCCCCAAAGUCUUGUCAGGCUGGCAGAGAUGGAGGAAAAGCUCCGAGUAAUAGUUGAUGACUGAAUUGCGCAGUUGGUCCUUCCAUCAGGAAUCCCACCCACUGUGGAGGAACUGCAAACUGUUGUGGAGGAGAUUGGAAUUUCUGAUGAGUUCAGUCUCCAGUAUUUGGACUCGGAAUUUGAAGAAUACUUUGCUCUUCAUCAAAGUGACCAAAUUAAACACAAAGACACCAUAAAGGUUGUUCACGCCGCCCCGAUUCUUCUUAACUUGCUUCCUCUUGAUGAAAGUUUGGACAGUUCAUUUGGUCAAAAGUCAACUGACUGAGUCUGCAUCAAAUGCAGAGUCAUCUGCUGGAACAUCAUCUUCACAGGACACCAUUAUUCUGCCUAGGCGAAGUACCUCAGAACGAUGCCAACAAGGCCAAUGCAGUUCCCUAUUCCACAGUUUGCAUAUGAAACCAAGAUGUACCUUGAAAGAGCCACUGAAGAAUACAAGAAGAAUGGAACACUUCUGACUACCUCAAAGGUCAAGGCAGACAUACUUGAGAAGCUGUCUGAAACUAUAUACACAUUUACAGCUUAUCCAUCACGUGCACAGAUAAGUGAUGUUGCUGAGGCACUUGUCAAGAAAUAUCUUUUUCACAAAGAACCUGGCUCCUUCUCAGGUUGCUAUGGCUGGCAACAAAGCAUAAAAUACAAGAUACAAGGUGUUCCUGAGGUGAUAUGCGAUGCACUCAAACACGAGAGCCCUGAGGUCCAGAAGUCUGCAAAGAGUGUAAAAAAAACCUAGAAAGGCAGAGGAAAACUACCUCCCCCCUCACCCAGCAGAAUGUCAAGAACAAGAGAGGAUUCAGUUGCUUACUGAAGUAAGGAAGAGGGACAACAAGAAGUUGAUAAAAGAAAAAUGGCCAAAACAUUUGCACACAGAAGAAACGAAAUAGGUUGACAAUCACCCAGCAUAGAGGACAUCAAAGCCAGAUGGCCUGCUCUAUUUGAGGCAUCUCAUAUCCAGGAUGAGUUUCACAGAAUCACAAUGAUGCACCUUGAAUCAAAGUUCAUGUCCAAUCUGGAUAAAUACACUCCCAGGCUUCUGAAACUCUUCCAGUCCAAGGGUGGAACCAUGGGGUUAAGGUUACAGGCCAUCCUACUCAAGUGCCUUCCUGGAGACACAGCUGGUUCCCUGGAAACCUCAGAAAUGACUGUUUCAUUAGAUCGGUCCCUGAGACAGCACAUGAAGAAUAACUGAUGGAGGAUUGUUUAACCAUGUGGUGUUAAAAAUGGCAACUUUAAAGGAUGCUGAUGAAGACAGUGUAUUGCAGGACCUUACUGUACAAAGGAUUAAAAUCUACAUCAAGAGUAAUAUGUCGGAGGUUCCUGAUAACAUCAGUAUCGUGGUAGAGGACAUGAAAGUUCUGACAGCUCUUGGUAACUUUCCAAGGGCUUGCUCCAUGCUCCUUGGGUUGACCUAUGCAGUGAAUCUUGCCUAUCCCAAGGAGCUCAGGUAUAUGUUCGAAGUCUUCCAGAAACUCCUCCUUGAGCUGGAUUGUUCAAAGCUGUCCCCAAAACUGAACAGCCUCAAGAAUAAGCUACUAGCUUAAGAAAAUGGACCUUUGCAGGAUGAAAGGGAAUUGUUGCGGCACUGUCACAUGGUUACCUUCAAGGCUUUGUUAAAUGCUUGAGUUUCAUUGAUGCAGGUGGUUGUUCAGAUUUGAGGGGCGUGGCCCUCAGCCAACUAUAUUUGUACCUUCUGAGUCCACUGUGUACACCAGGGAUUCAGGGAUUUUUUGACAUGUUUUAAUUGAGGCUUUUGAAUUUGCACAAAUACAAAAUGUAAUUGUUCAAGUGAAUCCCAUUUUUGCAAGUGAAGAAGCAAGGCAAAUUGAAGUACUUCUGUCUGUUUUCUUAAAAUACAAAAUGCAUUUUAUUCUUGUACUGAUAUUUUAUUGUUUUAUUUUGGCAUUUUGCACUUGAAAAAUGUUGGGUAAACAUGUUGAGACAAAGUUUCACAAAUAAAUGUUUACCUUCUGUUAUUUUUAUGCAUGGUGAUCUGGUGACCCAACUUAAGUAAACUAUGGCACCACGAAGGCAUGAUAUUGGUUGGAUUAGAAAUAGAGAAAUGAAAGUGACAUUAAAUAUAUUUAAAGUCAUGUGACCAAUGAAGACUUUAAACAGUUAAUUAAGGUACAGAUAAAUAAGAGUAGCAUUGUAAGUGUGUUGAAUUAUGCAACAAUGUGCUCAAAUGAGUUAUAUAUAUAUUUUUUAUUUAGUGAACCGAAGUCAAUUUCACCCAGGUUAUUAGUAAAUAUAAAUCAAUUUCCAUAAGAUAUUCAGUAAAAUAUAAAUCAGUUUUCCCCAAAUACUUAGUAUAUUUAGAUUACUUUUGCUCAGAUACUUAGUAAAUAUUAAUCAGUUUUCCUUGUGAAAUUAAUUUGGAUUUACUCAAUAUUUUUGGGCUAUAUAACUCCUUUGGCACGCUAUUACUAAACUCAACAUAUUAAUUGUUGCUUUUAUUACCAUUGACUUAAUUUUUUUUUGUUUAAAUUUAGUUAAUUCAAUACUUUUUAAUCAAAGUUGUAGUAAUUAAAAUCUAUUCAGUUAUAUUAUGUGUCACUUUGUUCCCAUAUUUUUUUUAAGUAAGCAUUGGUCACAUUUUUUUUUACAAUGUAUUAAAUUCAUAUUAUUCAUAGUAUAAUAUUCAGCUGAGUUCAGCUGAGAUGAAAAGGAAUUUUCCCUUUUGGCAAGACAAUGACCCAAAGCAUACAUUCAAACCAACAAAGGAACGGGUUAACAAAAAGAUCAAUGUUUUUGAAUUACCUAGUCAGAGUCCAGACCUGAAUCCCUCUAAAAAUCAGCCUGUGUACAGGAGAAGCCCUUACAAAUUGAUGGACCUAAAAUGUUUUCAGAAGAAAGAGCUGGAAAAUAUUGCCAAGUUCAAGAUGUGCCAUGCUGAUAGACUCUUACCCAAAAUUACUGAGUGCUGUAAUAAAAUUAAAAGGUGCUUCAACAAAGUAUUAGUUUAGGGGUGUGCACACUUAUGCAACCAGGCUAUUGUAAGUUUUUUCUUUUUCUUUUUUUCUCUAAAAAGUUUCUGAUUGUUUUUCACUUUAUUUGUAUACUUUGCAAUUUCACAUUAAAGGUGGGAAAAGUUUUGA